ensembl:lncRNA
CAGCAACAGAGGAGGAAGUGGGGAGGGAAGGAAGGAAAGCAAGGAGACGACUUCAGUCCUGGAGAGCGGGAUGGCGCCCAGGGGCUGGGGGACCGAAAGGCAGAAAAGCCAGCGCCAGAGAUGCAGGGAGAAGGCCCUGUGCCCGCCUGAGGUCUGUGAUGUCUCCGAUUCAGGUUUCUCUUCUGGCCAAGCCUAACCCGGAACCACGGAUGGAAGGGCGCUCCGAGACACAAGGCCCUGCCUCAGCUACGUUGUCACAAGAUGCAGCCAUCGCGGGCGCAGAGGGACGUCUUUGUCCAUCAGAUGGCGGCCCUGCCCCGCGUGUGGCCCUCAGUGGGGUCCAGUGACUUCACGAGCCUCGAGCUCCCUCCUGGGGCACCGGGCUCUGCGAUGUCUGCUCCCUGACCUCAGCCAGGACCCCCUCGCCCGUCCCGGCUGCACUGCUCCUCCUCGAGCUCCUCAGGCCUCCACGGGGCACCCUGGCCCUUGGACUUCAGUGCCCUCGGCCUGGGGUCCCCGUUCCAGGCCUCGGCCUCCACGGCCCUGCCUCCCUCUGGAACAUUUCCCUCCUUUUCUGGUGCGUCUCCCUCACGAGGACGUCCCCUCCUCGAGGCCCCUCAGCAGGCAUCCUGGCUCGGAGCAGGCAUUCUGCCCGCGGUAACCCUCUGCCUGCAGGAGCCUCCGAGUUGGAAGAGACGGGCCUUCGGGAGGAUGCUGGCGGGAGGUGCGCCCGUCCUGCAACAGGAGGACGAGGCCGACCCAGACGUGUCCUUCUAGUUGUGGCAUGUGGGACACCGCCUCAACAUGGCCUGAUGAGCGGUGCCGUGUCCGCGCCCAGGAUCCGAACCGGCGAAACCCUGGGCCGCUGAAGUGGAGUGCCUGGACUUAACCACUUGAAAAUUAAAACCCUCCCUGAGGACGCCGAAGGCCUCCUGGAGCCAUCACCCAUGCCAGCCCCCUCCCCAGAAGGAACUGCCAUCAUCCAGGUCCCCAUGUGCAUGCAUCUCCUGCCCCCCAACUCCUUCCCCCCCAUCCGCCCCCACCCCCCAGCCCAGACCGUGAAGAGCAUCUUCAGUCGUCAUGGUGACAGAUACUGCUGGCUGCCCACCCAAUGGUCAUCACCUCCCCUCCCCUCACCUUGCCUUGGCUAAUAGAUCCCCAGUUUGGUUUCGGGUGGUGACGUGGCCCAUCCUGGGGCACUGAUCAUAAUUGCCCAAGCCAAUUGAUCUGUCCCAUCCCUCUUGUCAGUUACACGCUUGUUUGGCUAUGUGACACCCCCCACCCACCCGCCACCUCCCUGCUCCAGCCAAGACUGCUUGGAGGAUUUCUGAAGAAAGUCAGUCAAUUAUCUCCUGCCACAGGAAUGCUGUGUAAGACGCAACCACCGAACCUUGGUGGAGGAUAAGAGUGAGCGUUUCCUGCUCGUGCCCCUGGAGUGAGCCGGGGGGCGGGCUCGGCGGCUCUGCGGGUCUUGGCGGGGCUCGCUCGCAGGUCUGGCGAGUGGAGGUGUUGAGUGAGGGAGGCUGGGCCUGGGCCGCUAGAGCAGCUCGACGGCUCCACGCGCCUCUCUCGCCCGCCUGCAAGCCAGCCCAGCCUCACAAGCCCAACUCAAGCUUCUGCUGGUGUCACGUCUCCUGAUGCCCCACCGGCCAGGGCUGAGCCCAGAGCCAGAGUAGGAGGGCGCCACCAAGUUUCAAGGCCUAGGCAUGGAUCCAGGGAAAAGAGGAGAACAGGGCAGUGUUUGGAAUCUACCAGAUAA